CCUACGGGAGGCAGCAGUCGGGAAUAUUGCGCAAUGGAGGAAACUCUGACGCAGUGACGCCGCGUGCAGGAAGAAGGUUUUCGGAUUGUAAACUACUUUAGUCAGGGAAGAACCCAGACAGUACCUGUAAAAUAAGCUCCGGCUAACUACGGGCCAGCAGCCGCGGUAAUACGUAGGGAGCAAGCGUUAUCUGGAUUUAUUGGGUGUAACGGGUGCGUAGACGGGAAGUCAAGUUUGUUGUGAAAUCCCUCGGAUUAACUGAGGAACUGAAGCCAAAACUAACUUUUUUGAGGGCUGGAGGGGAAAGUGGAAUUCCUAGUGUAACGGUGUAAUGCGUAGAUAUUAGGAGGAACACCAGUGGCGAAGGCGACUUUCUGGACAGUAACUGACGUUGAGGCACGAAAGUGUGGGGAGCAAACAGGAUUAGAUACCCCUGUAGUC
rnacentral:rRNA from 1 species